GUGAGAAACAUUUUGGAGACCCAAAGGAAGGGGCCAUUGUAAAGAAGUUCCACCAGAGUAGAGAGACAACAUUUUGCUCUGUCACCCAAGCUGAACUGAACUGGGCUCCAGCAAUCCUCCCACCUCAGCCUCCUGAGCAGCUAGGACUACAGAUGCGCCACCAUACCCAGCUAAUUUUUUAAUUUUUUGUAGAGGUGGGGUCUCAUUAUGUUGCCCAAGCUGAUCUCAAACUCCUGGCUUCAAGAGAUCCACCCACCUCAGCCUCCCAAAGCGCUAGGAUUACAAGUAUGAGACUUUGCCAUUCCAAUGAGAAUUUUGUCCUUAGCAAUCUCAUCCAAUGGCCGCUGGAGAUGUGUGUAGGGCCACAAGAAUGAGAAAGGGGGCAAUGGAGUGACAGGUGACCUGCUCAGGUGCCCCUCCCCAGACCAAAUGUCCCAGGCACACAGCCCAUGCCCUCCACCAUGGAGUACAUUUUCUCCCUGGCUUGCUGCUGAGCUAAAGGACCAGGGAUGUGGAAACAGGAGGUGAACUAAGGCACCCCGCCACCCACUGUGGCAGCUUGAGUUU
rnacentral:sRNA from 1 species